GAUGAAGAACGUAGCAAAAUGCGAUACUUGGUGUGAAUUGCAGAAUCCCGUGAACCAUCGAGUUUUUGAACGAAAGUUGCGCCCGAAGCCUUUUGGCCGAGGGCACGUCUGCCUGGGCGUCACGCAUCGCGUCGCCCCCCCACAAUUCUCCGUAAAGGGAACAUGUGUUUUGGGGGCGGAUAUUGGUCUCCCGUGCUCAUGGCGUGGUUGGCCGAAAUAGGAGUCCUUUCGAUGGACGCACGAACUAGUGGUGGUCGUAAAAACCCUCGUCUUUUGUUUCGUGCUGUUGCUCGCAAGGUAAACUCUUUAAAAACCCCAAUGCGUCGUCUCUUGACGACGCUUCGACCGCGACCCCAGGUCAGGCGGGACUACCCGCUGAGUUUAAGCAUAUCAAUAAGCGGAGGA
rnacentral:misc_RNA from 1 species